GCGUGAAGGAUAACGUUGCGUCAGCAACGGCCCGUAGGGCGAGGCGAAGCCGAGUCAUCCUGCACGACCCACCA
rnacentral:sRNA from 1 species